rnacentral:rRNA from 1 species
AGUGAACGCUGGCGGUAGGCCUAACACAUGCAAGUCGAACGGCAGCACAGUAAGAGCUUGCUCUUACGGGUGGCGAGUGGCGGACGGGUGAGGAAUACAUCGGAAUCUACUUUUUCGUGGGGGAUAACGUAGGGAAACUUACGCUAAUACCGCAUACGACCUACGGGUGAAAGCAGGGGAUCUUCGGACCUUGCGCGAUUGAAUGAGCCGAUGUCGGAUUAGCUAGGUGGCGGGGUAAAGGCCCACCAAGGCGACGAUCCGUAGCUGGUCUGAGAGGAUGAUCAGCCACACUGGAACUGAGACACGGUCCAGACUCCUACGGUAGGCAGCAGUGGGGAAUAUUGGACAAUGGGCGCAAGCCUGAUCCAGCCAUACCGCGUGGGUGAAGAAGGCCUUCGGGUUGUAAAGCCCUUUUGUUGGUAAAGAAAAGCAGCAGGUUAAUACCCCGCUGUUCUGACGGUACCCAAAGAAUAAGCACCGGCUAACUUCGUG